AGCACCUUCAACAUCAUACUCACUGCUGUCGUUCAACAUGAAAUUUCCACUAACACCAGCUGAGGACAAAGGUGGACAGCGAUCGGGAUAGAGUUCUCGAGCCAAAGCUUCCUCCUGACUGAUGAUGGCAAGCCAAGUUGCACUUUCCUUGGCUGUCAUCUUGUCCUGUAAGCACUUUGACUGCCUUACCAGCUUGCGGAUUUUAGCAAUAUCAGGGAACAUGUGCUUGAUCACCGCUGUUAGGACACCAACCUUCCACGCCUUCUUCAGAUCAUGAGGCUUCUUGUAAGGUAGAGAACCUUGGUCCUUCUGCAAACCCAAUUGAGGCCACCAAUCCUCCUUUCCUGUGGGCCACCAUGGUGGUGGAACACCUUUCUCCAAUGGAAAUCUUCUCUGAGGAGGAUCACAGUGCUGCAUCAAAGCUGAUAAUAACGAACCAAGGGUGGUAUCUUGCAGCUCCUGCAAGGUGUGAGGGGUAGGACCAACUGGAUUAGACCCCUCGUUCAUGCCAGGGAUGGCAUGAUCAGCUUGGUAUUUGGCUAUUGCUGCAGGACCAUUUCGAUCGAACCUCACCUUAUCCUUCCACCACUCCCUAAGAUUAUCAGAUGCCCCACUAACUGGCUUGCCUUUUUCCGGAAUGAUCCCAUAAACAAACCCCUGAGCUUUACAUACUUCCAUCAUUUUCAGCAUGUACUUCAAGAUCCCAUCCUGUGCCCUUGACAUCUUCUUCCUCCUCGCCUGCUCCUGCGACUGACGUUGUUUUGCAGGAUCAACACCUUCCUUACUUUUACUCAUUUCUUUCAGCCUUUUCAACUUCAUCUUGUCCCUCCACAUCCUCCUCUCCAGCUCAUCCACUUCAAUCUCCUCCUCAUCACUAUAAUCAUCAUCCACCACAGAAUCCGGCUCAGUCUGACUCUGCGGAGCAGACACUUCCACUUCCUUCAGCGGAGCAGGGAAGAAAUCAAGAUCCCCACAGAGCCCCAUUUCCUCAAACAUCAUCAUCUUCCACAGGAUGAAAAAGGUGAAGCUACUUGCAACUUCCACAGGAUUAAGCAGCUAAUACCCAAAAUCCAAUAUUCAGAUCAGAAUCUAAUUGAAAUUGAUCAAAUUACAUGAGCCUGCAAAUACAUUAAAAAGAAAGAACAUAAGCUAUCUCCUUAAACUGAAAUCACACAAUAGAAUAAACAAGCAAACAUCACAACAAACAUAUGAAGUUCAAGUACACCAAUCAUCAAAAGAACCAUAAAUUUUAUCUCUAGAAAAUUUAAAACAACUCCCAUUUUCUCAGCAGCUCAACAGAAAAAUUGUACAAACUAACUUACCAAAUAAUCCAAGAAUUGACAUACUUUCCUGGAUCUAAAACAUAAAAAUAUCCAUGCUAAUUGAUUUCCAUAUAUUGUAUUUAUCAGCUGAUCCCAAAAGGAGGAAAAUGAAAGCUAUAUUCAACCAAAUCAACAACAGAAAAAACAGAUGAAAAAUCCAAUCUUGAAACAAAAGCUCAACUACUUACACAAAAAAACUCAAUAAUCCAAAGAUCAAACACAACUAUACUGAAGAAGAAACCCCAGAUGAAAAACUAACACCAAAAACCAGUAAAGAUCUCAGCUUUACCAUAAAAAAGCAAAUUUAAUCAAGAAAUAAUUGCACAAAUACCUCAAAAAGAUCACUUUUUUUAUGUCGUUGCAAAACUGUGGUUCAACUGGAACUCAGCUUAGAGAAUAAUAAUUGAGCCUUUUGGAGUUGUAAGCAGGAAAGAGAGAAGAAGAUGGUUAUUAUAGUACUAAUAAUACAAUUUUAAUAAUGGAGUUUGUACUAUUUUUUGAUGUAUUGGGAGAUGAAAAGUGUCGGCUCUUUGGUAAAAAGCCAUCCUUUUGCUCAUUAUUUAUUUAUUUAUUUACGGGAGAAGGAUCAAAUAUGUUCCUAAACUAUUUGAAAAGGUUUAGAUAUACCCUCCGUUUAAAGAUUGGUCUAUUUAUACCCUCGCUGUCCAACUUUUGGUCUACAUAUGCCCUUUUGAGCGUUAGUUGGUCAACUCGGAAUAUCCAAUUCAUUUUACUUUUAUUUAAAUGCCAAAUGGAUUUUCUACGUCAUUUUUAUUAUUAUCACUUGACAUUUAUAUUCAAGAGAAAAGGGUCAAAUAUGCCCUUAAACUAUUUAAAAGGUCUAGAUAUACCCCCGUUUACAGUUUGAUCAAUUUAUACCCUCGCGUCCAAAUUUUUGGUCUACAUAUUCCCUUAUGGAUGUUAGUCAAUCCAAGAUAUCCAACUCAUUUUACUUUUAUUUAAAUGUCAAAUGGAUUUUCCACAUCAUUUUUAUAUAUUAUUACUUGACAUUUAUAUUAAAAGAGAAAGGGGCCUUUUAUACCCCUAACUAUCCGACCUAAUUUUAAAACACAUAUAUGACCCGUCUUUUAAGUAAUCUAUACAACCUCACCCUUUUUUUUAAAUACCCUAUAUGGGUCGAAUUAGGGCAUAAUUGAACCAUUUAAAUGGCGAACACUAUCGUGCUCUGAUUGGAACUGUCGAGGAAUCAAUGGCACGACAACUAAAGGAAAAGGAAGUCGAGAUUUGAAAAGCGUUUAAACGCAACGCAGAGCUGGAGGCGCAAAUCUGGCAUGCAAGGACUAGAGCAGAGGAAUUCACCGCAACGACGUUACAGACGCAACUGCAAGCUGCAGCAGGCGAUGAUGAUGUAAAUAACAAAAUAAUUCACACAUAUAUGAGUCGGAUUAGGGACAUAAUUGAACCAUUUCAAAGACGGUCGUAUAUGUGUUUUAAAAUUGGGUCGGAUAGUUAGGGCAUAAGUGACCCCUUUCUCUUUUAAUAUAAAUGUCAAGUGAUAAUAUAUAUAAAUGAUGUGAAAUCCCAUUUGGCAUUUAAAGAAAAGUAAAUUGAGUUGGAUAUUUUGAGUUGACCAACUAACACCCAUAAGGGCAUAUGUAGACCAAAAGUUGGACGCGAGGGUAUAAAUGGACCAAACUUUAAACGGGGGUAUAUCUAGACCUUUCGAAUAGUUUAGGGGCAUAUUUGACCCUUUUCCCUUGAAUAUAAAUGUCAAGGGAUAAUACAUAAAAAUGACGUGGAAUAUCCAUUUGGCAUUUAAAUAAAAGUAAAAUGAGUUGGAUAUUCCGAGUUGGCCAACUAACGCCCAAAAGGGCAUAUGUAGACAAAAAGUUGAACGGCGAGGGUAUAAAUGGACCAAACUUUAAACGGAUGGUAUAUCUAAACCUUUUCAAAUAGUUUAGGGGCAUAUUUGACCCUUUUCCCUUUAUUUAUUUAUUCCAUUUUGGAUUUUCAUCUUCUUGGAUGGAGCUCAACCAAUGGUAAAGGGAAGAGACCACUGUGUUUUCGAUUUCAAAUUCGAGUUUUGAGUAUAAAUUUAAAUACGAUUAAAUAUUAGACCAAGAAAAACAGAGGUAAAUAUUUAACAUAUACUAAUUCAUUAUAGAUUAAUAGUGUAUAUAAUUAAUAAUUAUAAUUUAAUUAAAUAACAAGAGUGAAUGUGAAUAUAUGUGUUGUAUAUUUGCACUAUUAGUUGUAAUAUAAAUUGUGUGUGAAUAAGUUGUUUUAUUAUAUAUAAUGUAUUUAUCGAGUUAAUAUAAUUAUGUGCGAGUAAAUUUUUAUUUUGUUCAUCCAUGUUUAUUUUUUAAAAGAAAAACAUUAAUUUCGUUAUUUUUUCUCUAUUUUUUAUUUAUGUGUCAAAUAUUUUCUAAUUUGAUUUCUCUUUUCACUUGUUAUUUUUCACAAAGUAAGGAAUGGCAAUUUUUUUUAUUUCUCCUUUUAUAUCCUCAAUUUAUUAGUAUAGAGUUAACGUCUUUGAAAAAUGCAAUGAGUAAAAAAAUUUGACAAGUAAAACAAAGAUAGAGAUCGUAUUAAUUUUAACAAAACUACAAUUAAAGUCAUUGUUAGCUAUUAAUUGUAGUGUAAAUGUUGUGUGUGAAUAAAGUUGCAAAUUCAUUUUCUACGUUUACAUGGUAGAGGACAAAUAAUUUCGUGUGGAUUGAAAAAAUCAUUUUCUACGUUAACAUGGUAGAGGACAAAUAAUUUCGUAUGGAUUGAAAAUAAUAGUAUGUUUUAAACAAAUAAAUACAUAGCAUGUGUUGUUUUUAUCUCAUAUAUAUAAUAAGAAAAUACAAAUUUUAAUACUUAUAAUUUAUUUGCUUUUAAUUUUUAAAGUAAAUCUAUAAAAUAUAAGUAACUUCAAUCAUACAAAACAAAAAAAAUCAAAUAUUAAGGUAUUAUGAUUUUGUAAUUAAUGUUUUGUAAUUAAUGUUUCUCAUAUAGUAGUAAUUAAUAUGUCGAAUUAAAUGUGAUUGAAUUUUCAUGUUGGAUGGGAGUGGGGUUUAUAAUUUUGAAGUGUAAAUGUGCCUUAAAAGUGGGGUAAUAAAUGGAAGAUGACAAUUAAUCCAUUAUCCAACUAACCCCCACACAAUAUGUGAAGGAUAUUACCAAAAUGUUGGGAGGAAUAAAAAAACACUAACUCAUGGUUGUACCAAAUUAAUAUAUGUGAAAAUAUGUUUCAUAUUAGGAAGUUUUUUUAUUUACUGUUUUAAGUAUUUUAUUUUAGGUUAUUACGUUAUUUUGUGAUUGUUACUUUUUUUUUCAUUAUUUUGAUAUGUUAUAUUCGAAUUGAGGAUUCUCUGAAAAUAGAUUUGUCAACCUUCAUAAAUAGUAGUAUGAUCUUCGUAUAUUUUAUCCUCCCUUAAUUGUUGUUUGAUAACUUUAAUGAUAAAAUUGCUUGAUUUAACGUCGAUAUUGAUGUCUUUUUUAGGUGAUUUAGAAUAAAGCAUUCAUUUAUAUUUGUUAGGUUAUUAGCAUUUUAAUAUUAAUAUUUAACAUAUUAAAUUAUUUUAUUUUGGAGUUAUAAGAAUGAUCGGUUGGUAGGUAUUUGUGUCUUAAACUACCAAUUUAAUCAUGCUAUUCAUCUUUGACUUGGUAGUCAUGUAAUGCCAUUACUUUUGGCUUUAUUGGCUGAAUUCAUUGUGAGAUAAAAACAUUCCAAUAAACAUUGGAAUGGAUAACUUCUACAUCAUCCAUUAGCAUUGAUUAUUCAUCACUUUAUUUCACUCUUAAUUCCUCUAUUACUCUUUAUAACCUAUGUAACUCUUAUUGUAACCUGUGAAACUCCUAAGGUCAUUAUCUUCACUAUUUACUACCUCCAUUAUCUUCGUAUUCAUUGCUAGGAAGACUUAUUGUAGUAUAAAUAGUGGUGGUAUUUAUUUGGUUUGGUACACACAAUACACAAGAGAAAAAACAGAGUGAAAGUGUUGAUCUAAAAGAGAGUUCUUAUUAGUUGAAGGAGGUGUUUUUUUUUGUGGAGUUUUGGACUCAACUCUUGUCCAGAUUUGUUGAGUUAUAAUUUAUGAAGGCUGUUGUAUCUUGGAGGGGACAAGUCAAAGAGGAAUACUGCUAGACCGGUAAAAACAUUUGCUGCAGUGGGCUUAAAUCUCCCUAAAGAGAGCGAGAUAUCCGCACCUCAGUCUUAAAGAGAUUUAUUUUCUUCAUUUUUUAUUUUUAAUUGUAGUCUUGUAUUUAUUGUUGUCUAGUAAAUUUUUUCACUAAUAAUAUUUUAACAAUAUUUAUGUAAAUAUAUUAAAGACAGACUAAUUAUAGGAUAUAAUGUGUUUUUCUAUGUGAAAAAAAUAAUACAAGUAAUUCCAUAGCAUUUGUGUGUUUUGGGUGGAAUUUUUGUGGGGAAACUCUAUGGGUUAAUGAGCUUUUCUUUUCAAGGGAGAAUACAAUGAAUUAAUUUAAAGUUUGUGGGGAUAUGAUGGGAAAGGAAUGUGUUAAUUUUUUUGUUUUUUUUUUUUGGUUUUGUUUUAUUGAAUAUAUGAGUUGGCAAUUAGUUCUCAUCCUUUUGAGUUCUUUUAAUGUCCUAUUUAGAUAUUUCGAUUGAAAUUUUUGAUAAUUAUUUUUUAUCGAAAUAGCAUUUUGCUUAUUUUAAUGAUUUGUGAUGUUUAAAAUAUUAAGGAUAGUAUUAGAAAAAAAUUUAAUUUAUUAAAAUAGAUAAAUAAAUAAAAUAUUUGUUUUUCAUAGAAAAGUCAAAUAAAUUGAAACGGAAGAAGUAUUUACCUGAUAGUUACAUUUGGCCAAUAUGUGGAAGAGCAUUUAUGGCUUGUGUUUGUUUUUUUUAAAAAAAAAAUGAAAUAAUUUAUGGCUUGUGAAUUAGUUUAAGUUUUAAGAAAGAUUGACUUAUGUCGUUGGGGUGAAAAGGGGGGGAUGUAUAAUACAUAUUUUGGAAAAUUAAAAAUGUUUCUAAUGAUUUGUGUUUAACUGUUAGUAGUAAAUUUGAGAUUUUAUAAAACAAAUUUUAUAGUAAAAGAAGAAGAUCUAAUUGUGAUUUUUAAACUAUCAAACUAUAUUGAUAACCAAUAAUUUAAAUUUAAAUUGUGUCUUUUAAAAUUAUAAUUACUAAAAUUCAGAUAUUUCUCAAGAUAUCGAUAAUAUUUGUAUUUUUUUAAAAAUAAUCUUUUAUUAUGAGAUUUUAAAAUUCACUCAAAAUUGGUAAAUCAUUUUCAUUGAUUACACUGCAUCUAAAAGUUUUAACUAGUCCAUUAAACAAUCACCACUAAGAUAUCUUAAGAUCCACAAUUACAAAUUAGGCUAAUUAUUAAGCUAUAACAAGUAAAUUAUGAGAUAUUUUUCAAGAUAACUCUAAUGUUUGCAACUCCUUUUUAGGUAAUUCUUCUACUAGACUAGAAGUUUGAACAAAUUGGAGAUAAAUUUAGGUAUAUGUUAUUAAUUUGAUCCCUCAUUUUAAAAUGUUAGAUCACCACAAUUAUGAGAUUUAUUAUAAUUACAUAGUUCAAUUUCUUGAGAAUUUUAAUUUUAUAUCAAAUAUUCUUUUUUGUUCCUUUUUAGUUCUCUUUGUUUCUUUUUUAGAGUCAAAGGAUAAGAAUUUUUACUAACGUUUUAUGAUAUAUUUUUUCAUCAUAUUAAUAUGCAAAAGAUUAUAAUUUUGUAGUGUAUUUGUUAUAUAACUUUUGAAUAUGUAAAUAUUUAAUUUAAAAUAUUCUAAUUAAUGUAAUCUAAUUAAGCUCUGAAAAAUUAGUCAAAUUAAUUUUCGAAAAACAUAAUUCAACAAUUAAAAAAAGAACAGAAGUAGAAAAGCCAAAAAAUAACAAUUAAAAACGUGUAAAGAAAGGGUGAAAUAACAUGGGAAAGGUUAGAAAGUGGAGAAAAGAGUGCGACAAAUAAACAAUCAAUGGAUAUUGAAGUGACACUUUAGGUGUCACUACUCACUACAAGUGGCCAAUUAUUGUCCUAUAAGACUUUACAAUAGUGAAAUUUCCAUUUUCCACCGUCUUAUAUUAAUCGUCUCUUUUUUUUACACGUCUCUUAAAAAAUUAUAAAUGAGAGAGAGUAUUUUACUAAAUGAUCAAAAAAACUUAGUCAGGAAUUUAUAAAAAAUUUAAAAAAUAAAUUAAUAUUGUAUGAUAUAUGUUAUCCUACCAUUCUAGCCAAAAGGAAUUAUCCUUACUAAAUUUAUCCCUUGAAACACUGUUUUCAAACUUAAAAAACAUGUUUAUAUUUUUAUAACAUGAAUUAAUUGUAAGAUAAAAAUUAAAAAAAUGUAAUUAAUUAUGUUUUCAGCUAGAGAGAAUUUUUUUGAUUUACAAAGCUCUCCUUCAAAUAUCCCAUAAAUAAAGGUAGGUCGGAAUUGGUGAAAGAAGGGAUUUUGUAAAUUGACAACUAACAUAGAACGGAAGGAGUAAUAGACACAAAACAAAAAGGGAAAUUAAAUUACUACUUAUCUGAAUUUUGAACAAUGUUGGGUCCAUAGCUCAGUGGUAGAGCAUUUGACUGCAGAUCAAGAGGUCACCGGUUCGAACCCGGUUGGGCCCUCUUCUAAAAUUGUUUUCUUUUCUUUUAGUUAUCGUAUUAGGCUUUUUCGUUUCUCCGUUAGGUAAAGAUGCGAUUAUAUAUAUACCAUCUUCUUUAGACCUCUCUUUAUGAGGUUACGCCAAAUAUAUUGAUUGUCGAAUAAAUUGCUCAAUUUUAUCCAAAUUUAACUUUGCUUUGCGCAUUUUAAUUUGUUAAAUAUUCAUUCAAUAACACAAAGUAUUAGGUUAAUCUUAUACAAGACAAGAGUAGAUAUAUAUAUAUAUUUAUGGCUGUCAGAAUAUAAUUUCUCUCUGGCCUUUUUCCCCUUUAAGAUUCUUGUACAAUAGAAAAAUAUUUUUUCUCAGAACAACUGCUACUAAUAAACUAGAUAACUGAACAGCAACUUAAUCUUAAAAUGUCAGAACAAACAAUUUUCUUUUAAUAAUUUAAGCAAAAGGUGUCAGCCACUCAUUUUUCGCCACGUAGAAAAUUAAAAUAAUAAUCCUAUGUCAGGUCAUUAUGUUUACAACUGUUUUGAUUUCAUCAAACUGCUAAGGAACAAACUAAUUAAGAUAUUAAUUUUUUUCCUAAUAAGAAAAUAGUAUAAGCCAGUUAGCCUAUCAACAAAAGUUGUCUAGUGUUUUUGGGACAGUUCUUAAUGCAUAGUUGUAUGUACAUUGCAUUUGCCUUUGCCCUUAACAUUUUUUUUUAUUUUUUUAAUCUGUUCUGUUCAUGUAGUUUCUGUAUUGAGUCUGUUAAACAAAAUGACCAGAUGCAUGUACAUGUAAAAGCUACACAAAUAUUGCUUCAUAUUAUAGUUUUGUGCCUCCUAAAGUCUUUCUUUUUGGUUCCACUCAGUGUCUGAUAUUCGUAGUGAAGUCUGACAACAUUCAGAUUCUCGCUCGCUGCAUAAUCUCUGGUUAAAGGAAUAGCAACCCCAUUCACUUGGCCACGGUCUUUGGUGAUGCCUCCCAAUGACUUGUAACCAGCUUAAUGAUUAUUUUUUUUUAAUGUUUGGCAUUUGCAUUUAAACAAAGAUUUAAUGGUCAAUUAUUGAUUGAUGGAGAUCUUAAGCAAAAGUAAUGACUUUAUUAAAGGAAAAUAUUAAAUAUAGUUCAGUAAAGUAGAAUCAAUCACAAGUAAAUUGAAUGUGAAGGAGUCAGCCAAUACUAUGUGUUGCUUCUUAAGUUAGAAAUGAAUAUAAAUAAUUGUGAUCUGCUAUUCACAUGAUCCCUGUCAUAUUACUUUUCAUUUCCUCACUUUACUUGAUGGUAAUCAGGUCAACUCACACGUACCUCGACUAUUCUAACAGGCACCUGUUAUCACUCACUAGUAUGAGGUAACUCUAUCCACCAAGACUUCAACGAAUAGUGAGGAGUCACCUAACAGUAUUUUUAGUCUCUACAGAUGUUAAAACUUACAUUGACUAUUAAGCAACACACUUGGGAGUCGCGUAUCCGUUAAUUCGAGAAUAUUCAAAUAUGAGCAGGAUAAGUUAGCGCAAUAGUCCAUAGAAAUGCACUCAAGACAAGUAUGUUCACAAGCCUGGAGAAACAUGACCAAAGGAAACUCAAUAAAAAGUCAUGUUAUUGCAUAGGAAAUGAAAAGGUUCAUUGCAUAAAAGCAAUAAUGUUACAUUAGGUAAAGAUCAUAGAAGAAAGCUUCUUACACAGCUUUGGCAGCGUCAAUAACUAUGCUACAAAAGGGCAGAAAUCUCAAACAUGAAACAACCUAAAGAACUGUAUGGCGAAAGACUGCCUUCGCCUGCCUAUAAAUUCAGCAGUAAAUACUGAUACAGCCCAUGCUGAAAAAAGCUACAAGCUUUAGAUCAAAACAUUAACAUGCAGACGAUCAAGAAAACUUAAACGGCGAGAUCAAAAUAACUGAAGUUUGGAUUAAACCAAAAUUUCAACACAAGAUAACAAGAUAGUCUUAACUUAUUUAUCAGAUAUCUAUACAUUCUAUAAGCAGCAUUGGCUAAUACUUGAGGGGGUCUCUUCCUUCUCCUCAAUUACACCAUGCCGCCUAGCUUUCAACCCUCUAAAACAUAUGGUAACAGGAAAUAUCUUGACUAAGAGAGUUGUAAGCGAUUAAAAAUCCACCUGAUAAUGAAGACCAAUUAUAAUGGGGUGUGCCAAUCUCGGGGAACAAGCUAUAUCUAUGAAGCCCCGACUGACUAUAUACGUUUCACCAAUAUCAUGGCUAGUACCAAAUUGGAAUAUCUUGCUUCGGUGUGGUGUCACAUCCAAUGCCAGGCAGACUUCCAGGGUAAUUGGUGGACUGUAAGUUGAAUGGAGGCCCAAACAUGAAUUGCAAAUUGUCACUUGAAUUUAGGAUCUUGCAUUGAUCAACAAGAUUGCCUUGUGGCUGCAUAGACUGACUUGCGGAAACAUUAAUGUCUUUGAAGAUAUUCCCCUCCAUCAUCCCUCGACUGUGUAGGUAAUUGACCUGGUCAACACGAGGUUGUUGAUGAGGCUGCUGCUCUUUGGUCACUGCAACAUUUCCCGUAUUUUGGCUUUUGUUUCCUUGUAUAUUACAAUCAUAGAAUGACAUAAGGUCAUCAAUCAUCCUUUGCCCAUCUUCAGGAACUCCUACUCCAAAUAGAUCAAAAGGAGGUGGACUUGGAUUAACAGGCAGAGCAACUGAAGUUGACGGGAUAUAUUGUUGAGGGAGGACAACUGGCUUGACUUCGUUCAUGGGAAACUUUGAAACUCCAAAUUGAGAAGUGUUUCUAUAAGGGCAGACCAGUUGAUGAUUGUCUCUCGCAGAUCUGUCCUGAAAACCGUGGCGAAGUUCACUGUAAGGACAUUGAAGAAUCUCACAUGUAUAAAUCUGAGCCAUGGUAACAGUCUGUUCAUUGGAUUGCUUCCUCUUGCGGGUGAAAUCUAAGCUGGUGAUUAUUUCAUCCUUGAUAGGAUGAGACUGUUGUUGCAGAGGCAGCCUCUCGUUGAAUCUCUCAACAGUGACAUUCAACAAGUUGAGAUGGUGUGGUUUUUGCUCUUGAACAUCAAAGUUACACUCAUCUUGAGCACCAUCAACAUCAUACUCACUGCUGUCAUUCACAGUGAAAGUUCCACUACCACCAGCUGACGAUAAAGGUGGACAACGAUCAGGGUAUAGUUCUCGAGCCAAAGCUUCCUCCUGAUUGAUGAUAGCAAGCCAAGUCGCACUUUCUUUUGCUGUCAUCUUAUCCUGCAAGCACUUUGACUGCCUCACAAGCUUCCGGAUUUUAGCAAUAUCAGGGGAAAUGUGCUUGAUCACCGCUGUUAGGACACCAACCUUCCACGCCUUCUUCAGAUCAUGAGGCUUUUUAUAAGGUGGAGGACCUUGAUCCUUCUGCAAACCCAAUUGUGGCCACCAGUCCUCCUGUCCUGUAGGCCACCAUGGGGGUGAAACACCUUUCUCCAAUGGAAAUCUUCUCUGAGGAGGAUCACAGUGCUGCAUCAAAGCUGAUAAUAACGAACCAAGGGUGGUAUCUUGCAGCUCCUGCAAGGUGUGAGGGGUAGGACCAACUGGAUUUGAUACGUCAUUCUUGCCUGGGAUAGCAUGCUCAGCCUGGUAUUUGGCUAUAGCGGCAGGGCCAUUGCGAUCAAAUCUCACUUUAUCCUUCCACCACUCCCUAAGAUUAUCAGAUGCCCCACCAACCGGCUUGCCUUUCUCCGGAAUGAUCCCAUAAACAAAACCCUGAGCUUUACAUACUUCCAUCAUUUUCAACAUGUACUUCAAGAUCCCAUCCUGUGCCCUCGACAUCUUCUUCCUCCUUGCCUGCUCCUGUGACUGGCGUCGUUUGACAGAAUCAACAUCUUCCAUCCCCUGAUUCAUUUCUUUCAGCCUUUUCAG
rnacentral:lncRNA from 1 species